ensembl:lncRNA
GGCACGGACACAGAGGGUGAGUCUGUGAGCAGAUUCCUUUCCCUGCUUGGGGUUGAGAAGCUUGUUUCAGGGUGAGCCUUUUCUGGUUUGUUCUUAGCCUGUCCUGGAGGUGGGUCUGGCUGUGCUGGAGCUGUACCAGCCUCAGUAAGGGCUGUCCUAACCUGGCCUGGGUUGGGGGGCUGCCCUGCUCUGUGAGGUGAGAAACUCCAGCCUGUAUUGUUUUCUGUCAUUCUGAAAGAGUGCCCUGGGAAUGCUAUCUGAGCUUAAAUCCUAAGGCAGAAGGGGGGGUAUUUGGAAAGCAGCCUUGGAGCAUGUUUGGAGUCAUCUCUGCUGCUUCCUUAUUUAAACUGGCAAAGAUUUUGCAAGGAAGAUGUCUGCUUUCAUUCAAUGGAGAGCAGUGUAUCUCAGGAAACACCAAAGGAGGUGGAACUUCCCCACGUGUGGUGUGAGCAGUGCAAGGGGUCGGUGUUGGGAGGCAAUGCAGACAACUGGAUUCAGAAUUCCAUGCAACGGGGAUGUGUGUGGCACCAUCCUGAGCUGGGGCAGCUUCUUCAUUUACAACAGCAUCAGCAGUUUGCUGUGUGUGGUGCCAAGCUGGUGCUGUUCACGGCUCUGUGUUACACAGGGGUGGAGAGUUACCACACCAACAGCAGCACAUGGCCUCCCAGGGGGCUCCUGUUUGGCAGGGCUGGGCUGAGCCCUGGGUCUGAGCCCACAGGGAGAAGUGCUCCCUGGAUCCCUCAGUGCUUGUUCAGCCUUCUCCUGCUGCAACCGAGACUGGAAGAGCCUGCCUCUUGGUCUCUGAUGCCAGACAAGGAUAACUUCUGGGUGAUGAGCUGGUUCUGAUUGCCCAGUUCUGAUUGCAUCUCUCUGCCAGGUCCCAGCUGAGGUUGCUGGUGGGGGUGAUGGCAGCUCACCGGCAGCUCUUCCCUACUCCAGGCCUGCUGCUCUGUGUCUUGGCUCUGCAAUUCUGCACCCAGGGCCCUCUUGCCAUAGCAGGGCGCAAAGUGGUCAACAUGUCCAUAGUCACCACCCAUGCCUCGGUGGCUGCCACCAGUGCCUCAAUGUCCACAACCAACCAGGCAUCCAUGGCCACCAACCAGACCUCAGUGGCCACCAGUCAGACCUCAGUGACCACCUACGACCAGGCACUGGUGGCCACCAACCAGACCUCAGUGGCCACCUCCAACCAGGCAUCAGUAGC